GAAAAAUUCAUCUAUUUAUGAUAAUCUAGUUAUUUUGGAUGACGCAAUUAGAUAAAAGACACGAGUUAACAUAAUCAAAUAUAGUGGGAUCAAAUAAUACAAAUAGCCGUUUAAAAUUAUCAAUCCAUAAAGUAAUUGGUCAAAGUAUCGAUAGCUUCUGAAUACAUUGUAGUAAAGGCUUUACUCAACUACUAUCCGAGAUGUUUAACAUAAAGAUAUUUUUGUUGGCAGUUUUGAUAGUGACUUUGUUUGCUGCCGAAACUUUUGCAUGCGCCGGAGGCGGCCAAUUUUGUGGAGGCUCGGAGGUUUGUUGCAAUGGUGAAUGUCAACCUUUGUACGGUACACUUGGGAUAUGUGCAGAUUAAGUUACGUUAAAUUAACUUCGAAUUCACUUUCGACUCAGUUUAUACAUAUUAUAAAUAUAUAUGUUUUUCCAAAUUUAUAAGCAAACAAUUGCGACUAUUUUUUGUAUAAUGUCUGAUUUUAUUUAUAAAUAUAUGUAAACUUUAUCCAACGAAAUUUUAAAACAUAUAUAGAGGAGACCGGGGUACGAAUGUCCCCUUAAGUCGGUUUUUUCUUGUCAUGGCUUUUUGACCAUCAGAUUCGUUUAUAUUCCGUCUAUUUAGGAAGAAUCAGUCGAAAUUCUGUAAAAAAUCGAAAAAAAAUUUUUUUUUCUGGGGCACGAAGGCCCCCUUCCCAAAAAAUUAUAAAAAAAAAUUUUUUUUUAUUUUCCGUCAAGUUAUGACCUUUAUAAUGUUUUUAUUAUACUUUGGGUCAAUAUGUGAUAUGUGGGGCAAAAUGAACCACUCAAAAAAAAAAAUUGUCACAAAAAAAUUAACUUGACGGAAAAUAAAAAAAAAAAAUUUUUUCGUUACAAUUUUUUUUUUUUUAGUGGUUCAUUUUACCCCACAUGUCACACAUUGACUUAAAAUGUGAUAAAAACAUUGUAGGGGUCAUAACUUGACGGAAAUAAAAAAAAAUUUUUUUACGUAAUUUUUGAGGGGGGCCUUCGUACCCCAGGGGGCCAAAGCACCCCGGUCUCCCCUAUCUAUGUAUAAAUAUUAUUUUCAAACUUACUCAUGAAAUUCAAAAGGCUUCCUAAGGGUUAAAAUCGAAAGCUGAUAAUAAAAAAUCAAAGUGAUGUCGAGUUUUUCGGAAGAUAUUUUUUUUACAUUCAUACAGACCAACAGACGUCAAAUACACAAAAUCUUUUUUUUUUUAAUGAUAAUCAAUGUAAAUAGAAAAAAUUUUCAGUUACCGUUAAAAAAAAAAUUUUUUUCAUUUUUGCGGGCACCGCCUAAAAAAGAUUUAAAAAAUUUCUGGAUUUUAAAUGAAUUUGAUUAAGUUAAACUUUUUUGCAAGUAAUUUAUAUGAAGAACAAUUAUAUUUUGCAUGAUUAUUGGAUACAAAAAAAAAAAAAAAAAAAAUUUGUAAUAGUUUUUAUCAUAAAACACAAGUCAAUAAUAUUUUUCAACUGACAAUUGAUUUUUGAAAAAGUUUAACAAAAAAAAAUUUUAAAUAACGCUCAAUUAUAUUUACAAAAAAAAUUUUUGAAUUUUUCAAAACCAUUUAAAAUACAAAAUUUUUUUUUUAUAAAAUUUGAGGACAUCUCGUUUUGUCUAUCGUGCCUCCUUGCCCCCCCCCCCCUUUCCCUAUUACUUUUAUAUGAAUUACCAUAUAUAUUAUAUAUAUACUCAUAUGCUCGUCUUAAACUGCGCGAUAUCUUCGUAUGUUCAUAUUUCCUACUCAGACAAAAAAACAUAUAUCUGGAUAUAUAUUUUUUUCGAAUAGGUACUUUGUCAAUACUAAUGUUACUUAAUGUAAUUCUGUAACUAGACGCAAAGCUGUUGAGUCAUUUGAGGAAAAAAUAAAUGAACGUUAUCAUAAGGAAAUUGAUCUAUUUAUGAUAAUCUUCAGUUAUUUCAUAGAACGCAAUUAUAUAAAGAACACGAGUUCACAUCAGUAAAUGUAGUGGGGACAAUUAACAUAAAUUGCCAGUCAAAUUAUUGCUAAUCCAUAAAAUAAUUGGUCGAAGUAUCGAUAGCUUCUCUAUAAAUUGUAGCGAAGGCUUUACUCAACUACUGUACGAGAUGUUUAACAUGAAGAUAUUUUUUUUGGCAGUUUUGGUAGUGGCUUUGUUUGCUGCCGAAACUUAUGCAUGCCUUUAUGGCAGCCCGUGCUUGACUGACGGGGAUUGUUGCCCCGGUCGUUGUCAAAUGAUGCCGGAUUCACUAGGGAGAUGUGCGUAGUUUAAGUUUACCCUAAAUUAACUAUGAACUCACUGUUGACUCAGUUCAUAUAUAUUUACAUAUUUUUCUAAAUUUACGAUAAAACAAUAGCGACUAUUAUUUUGUUGGAUACCUGAUGUUAUUUGUAAAUAUUUUUAAACUCUGUGCAAUGAAAUAUAAAAAUAUAUAAAUAUCA